rnacentral:tRNA from 1 species
AUUUAAAUAGUUUAAAAAAAAAUAUUGAUUUGUGGUGUCAAAGAUAUGAAAUAUUUCAUUUUAAAUC